rnacentral:misc_RNA from 1 species
UCACGUCUUACGACGGCAGUUUCACUAGAGUUCCCAGCGUUACCUGAUGGCAACUAGUGAUGGGGUUGCGCUCGUUGCGGGACUUAACCCAACAUCUCACGACACGAGCUGACGACAGCCAUGCAGCACCUGUCACCGCGUCCCCGAAGGGAACCCCAGAUCUCUCUGGAUAGCGCGGGAUGUCAAACGCUGGUAAGGUUCUGCGCGUUGCUUCGAAUUA